AUUGAACGCUGGCGGCAUGCCUUACACAUGCAAGUCGAACGGCAGCACGGGAGCUUGCUCCUGGUGGCGAGUGGCGAACGGGUGAGUAAUGCAUCGGAACGUGCCCUGAAGUGGGGGAUAACGUAGCGAAAGUUACGCUAAUACCGCAUAUUCUGUGAGCAGGAAAGCAGGGGAUCUUCGGACCUUGCGCUUUUGGAGCGGCCGAUGUCGGAUUAGCUAGUUGGUGGGGUAAAGGCCCACCAAGGCGACGAUCCGUAGCGGGUCUGAGAGGAUGAUCCGCCACACUGGAACUGAGACACGGUCCAGACUCCUACGGGAGGCAGCAGUGGGGAAUUUUGGACAAUGGGCGCAAGCCUGAUCCAGCCAUGCCGCGUGAGUGAAGAAGGCCUCGGUUGUAAGACUCUUUCAGCCGGGAAGAAAUACGUCUUGGAUAAUACCUGAGGCGGAUGACGGUACCGGAAGAAGAAGACACCGG
rnacentral:rRNA from 1 species